AAACAAUCUGUAGAAUACUCAGCCAGGUGCCUGAAUCUGACUACCAAUUUUGUAGAUUUAGGGGAGCUUUAGUAGAUCCUCAGAUCCCUUUACAUAUAUUGAUUUUAUUCCUCUCAGAUUCUGUACAACUUCUCCAUAAGAGUGUCCUUCAUUUGAAGAGAACAGCUGCUAGCAAGGGGCCCAACUUGAAAAGAUCAGAAAAAACAGUGUCAUUGCAUGAAACGCUGCUACUAAGCCUGCACAAAUGGGAAGGAGCCAAAU
rnacentral:lncRNA from 1 species